rnacentral:rRNA from 1 species
AUUGAACGCUGGCGGCAGGCCUAACACAUGCCAGUCGAGCGGAUGAAGGGAGCUUGCUCCUGGAUUCAGCGGCGGACGGGUGAGUAAUGCCUAGGAAUCUGCCUGGUAGUGGGGGAUAACGUCCGGAAACGGGCGCUAAUACCGCAUACGUCCUGAGGGAGAAAGUGGGGGAUCUUCGGACCUCACGCUAUCAGAUGAGCCUAGGUCGGAUUAGCUAGUUGGUGGGGUAAAGGCCUACCAAGGCGACGAUCCGUAACUGGUCUGAGAGGAUGAUCAGUCACACUGGAACUGAAACACGGUCCAGACUCCUACGGGAGGCAGCAGUGGGGAAUAUUGGACAAUGGGCGAAAGCCUGAUCCAGCCAUGCCGCGUGUGUGAAGAAGGUCUUCGGAUUGUAAAGCACUUUAAGUUGGGAGGAAGGGCAGUAAGUUAAUACCUUGCUGUUUUGACGUUACCAACAGAAUAAGCACCGGCUAACUUCGUG